GAUGAACGCUAGCUACAGGCUUAACACAUGCAAGUCGAGGGGAAACGACAUCGAAAGCUUGCUUUUGGUGGGCGUCGACCGGCGCACGGGUGAGUAACGCGUAUCCAACCUGCCCAUCACUUGGGAAUAACCUUGCGAAAGUAAGACUAAUGCCCAAUGACAUUUAUAGAAGGCAUCUGAAAUGAAUUAAAGAUUUAUCGGUGAUGGAUGGGGAUGCGUCUGAUUAGCUUGUUGGCGGGGUAACGGGCCCACCAAGGCGACGAUCAGUAGGGGUUCUGAGAGGAAGGUCCCCCACAUUGGAACUGAGACACGGUCCAAACUCCUACGGGAGGCAGCAGUGAGGAAUAUUGGUCAAUGGGCGAGAGCCUGAACCAGCCAAGUAGCGUGCAGGAAGACGGCCCUAUGGGUUGUAAACUGCUUUUAUAGGGGAUAAAGUGAGCCACGUGUGGUUUUUUGUCAUGUACCCUAUGAAUAAGGACCGGCUAAUUCCGUG
rnacentral:rRNA from 1 species